UUUCAGAUCCUUGGUGAUUUCUCUGAUGUCUUUAAUCGAAAUGCUGCCAUCUUAAUCGAUCAAAUCGUCAAUCGGGUGGUGGACAACAAGGAAAUUGACAUUUUACCAUCGAUUUCACGCUGCACAAUGGAUAUCAUAUCAAGUAGCUAUAAAAUAAUUUUGCGAUGUAGAUAAAAUCAAGUGCUUGCUGGAAUUAGUGUCUUCAGAUGCGAAUGUUCAAAUACGUUUCCGCCCAGUACUUACGAUUAGCGUAUGUCAAUCCAAAGAGAAUGACACUAAUGUAACAGAGGAAAAAGUACACAUUCGUAUUCGCUUGUAGUUAAAUUAAAGUCGCAAACACUGCUUUGUUUUAGUAAAUGCAUUUGAAAAAAAACAGUAGAAGUUCUUUCGUAUAAACUUAAGGUCCCACCGAGAUUUGAACUCGGAUUGCCAGAUUCAGAGUCUGGAGUGCUAACCAUUACACCAUGGGACCGAUGUCAAAGAGCAUUGAUCUUGAUGUCUCAUAUCAGUGGUGUUGUCGUAACAAGCAAAGUCCUCAUUGCUGUCAUACCAAACACCCAAACAGAAGCUGCGAUGGGCAUUAAAAUAACACACAGAUUGAUUCAGACUCUGAGUAUAUUAAAGCAGUUGAUCGGAAAGUUUUUGAUAACUAAUAUUGAUCUUGCAAAAGAUAGCUUCGACUUGACUGGAAUAUGCAGGAAUGAACAUUAAAUCUCCCUAUAUCUUUAAUGCAAAAAGAAAGUUUAGUUAAAUACAAAUUUGACAGCUUA